AGAGAUUGUCUCAACAGAUCUGAAAAUCUUAGAUGAGAAACAGUUUUUUCAUUGGCAGAACUCUUCUCUCUCGAUUGAAUGUCUUUCAGUGAGGCUGUGAAGGUGAGAAGAAGUGAAAUUAAGUAUGUGAGAAAAUGUUGUUAUGUGUAUUUGUUUGGCUCAAUGCGUAUUGUGGGUUUAGAUAUGUUUGUUUCGUCUUUAAAUAUGGGUCGGGUCGGAUUUGUUUUUAAAAUUAAAAAUAGGUCAUUUAAAAUGAAUUGAGUUAUUCUGUUAGUUGAGGGUACAUAUGUAAACUUUUAUAACGACGAGGAUAUAUAUAGCCCUAAAGUAUGACGGAGGGUAAAUUUGAUCAAUUUUUCAAAAUAAAGAGGGUAUUUUUGACCCUUUUCCCAUCAUGGAAUAUCAUUGAGAAAUAGGAAUACCCUUUCUUUAAUUUAGAGUUCGGUUGGUCCAACUAAAUUGCCUAAAUCUCUUCCUCAUCUGCUGCUCUGUCUUUUAGAGUUGUAAACUGACCUCUUCCUUUUACAGCUAGACAAUUGACAAAUAAGCUGGGUAUAUAAAGAACAUAAGGUAUGAGUUGUCAUUAGCAAAAAAGUCAUAUUAUCAACGAGGGAAAUUGGCACAACCAGACAUCUCAAACAUUGAUAAACAUUGAUAAGGGAAGAAUUAGGCCUUCAUUAGAUAUUCCUUUCAUCCGCAUGGCAAGGCUUGCCAGUUUCCUGGAGUACACUCGAAUCUGGUUCGAUUCCAAGUAGGUCCUCCCCUAAAGUCGCUUUCAUGUUACCAAGAGGCACGGAUUUAAGCUGUGGAAAUAACGUCUAGUAAAAAUGUACAAUAGACCCGGGCACUUUUCUGACCCCUGCAUCGGGGGAGCUUUGGUGUACUGCACUCAAAUAGGUCGAGUAAAGCUGUUCAUCGAAGCUAGUAUGAUGGCUUCGUAGUGAGUGUUGUUGUUGGGAUUUGGAUAUGGAAUCUCCAGCCACAGGAUACUGUCUUUACCUGCAAAGUUUGGAAGGAAAUUGUACCAGUUUCUGGCCAAGUACUUGAUGGUCUGCUAUUUUCAAUCACAAGAGGUGCUUCACUGGCAAGGUUCGAGUACUGGAGAAUCCUUUCAACUGAUAUCAUUUUGUUUUCAGCAUUGCAAAUAUUCCAUAUAACGGAAGCUUGUAAAAUAUUCAAAUUGAUCCCAUAUGUUACUGCUAAUCCUGCAAUGCCUGUAGAAUAUAAAGCACCAUCAGUUUCCUCUGAUUUCUUUUAUGAAGUUGAAGUUCUUAACA